rnacentral:rRNA from 1 species
CUACGGGACGCUCCAGUGAGGAAUAUUGCACAAUGGGGGGAACCCUGAUGCAGCAACGCCGCGUGGAGGAUGACGCAUUUCGGUGUGUAAACUCCUUUUAUAUGUCAAGAAAAUGACGGUAGCAUAUGAAUAAGCACCGGCUAACUCCGUGCCAGCAGCCGCGGUAAUACGGAGGGUGCAAGCGUUACUCGGAAUCACUGGGCGUAAAGGACGCGUAGGCGGGGUGGAAAGUCAGGUGGGAAAUCCUACAGCUUAACUGUAGAACUGCACUUGAAACUUCUAAUCUAGAGUAUGGGAGGGGGAGAUGGAAUUAGUGGUGUAGGGGUAAAAUCCGUAGAUAUCACUAGGAAUACCUAAAGCGAAGGCGAUCUCCUGGAACAUUACUGACGCUAAGGCGUGAAAGCGUGGGGAGCAAACAGGAUUAGAUACCCGGGUAGUC